rnacentral:miRNA from 1 species
GAGUCUUAUAAUAAGGGACGGAGG